GACGGAGGGUGCAAGCGUUGCUCGGAAUCACUGGGCGUAAAGCGCGUGUAGGCGGCCCACUAAGUCUGAUGUGAAAGCCCGGGGCUCACCCCCGGAAGUGCAUUGGAAACUGGUGGACUCGAGUCCCGGAGAGGAGAGUGGAAUUCCUGGUGUAGCGGUGAAAUGCGUAGAUAUCAGGAGGAACACCGGUGGCGAAGGCGACUCACUGGACACAUAUUGACGCUGAGGUGCGAAAGCGUGGGGAGCAAACAGG
rnacentral:rRNA from 1 species